CUUUUAAAUAAGGACUAGUAUGAACGGCAUCACGAGGGUUUAACUGUCUCCCUAUUUUAAUCAAUGAAAUUGAUCUUCCCGUGAAGAAGCGGGGAUAUAAUUAUAAGACGAAAAGACCCCAUGGAGCUUCAAACUUACUUUUAAUUACCAAAAUCCAAAACAUAUACCUGGUAAAUAUAAUAAUUGUUUUCGGUUGGGGCGACCCUGGAGAAAAAUUAAUCCUCCAAGCUGAAUAGACAAAAAUCUAAUGUUAGAGUAACAACUCAAACAAUCAAAACCUUGACAAAAUGACCCAGAAUUCAUCUGAUCAACGAACCAAGUUACCCUGGGGAUAACAGCGCAAUCCAUUUCAAGUGCCCAUAUCGACAAAUGGGUUUACGACCUCGAUGUUGGAUCGGGGUAUCCUAGCAGCGCAGCCGUUGCUUAAGGUUCGUUUGUUCAACGAUUAAUAACCCCACGUGAUCU
rnacentral:rRNA from 1 species